rnacentral:rRNA from 1 species
AAUAGAUACCCCGGUAGUCCACGCCGUAAACGAUGAGUGCUAAGUGUUAGAGGGCUUCCACCCUUUAGUGCUGCAGCUAACGCAUUAAGCACUCCGCCUGGGGGAGUACGGCCGCAAGGCUGAAACUCAAAGGAAUUGACGGGGGGCCCGCACAAGCGGUGGAGCAUGUGGUUUAAUUCGAAGCAACGCGAAGAACCUUACCAGGUCUUGACAUCCUUCGCUACCUCUAGAGAUAGAGGGUUCCCCUUCGGGGGACGGAGUGACAGGUGGUGCAUGGUUGUCGUCAGCUCGUGUCGUGAGAUGUUGGGUUAAGUCCCGCAACGAGCGCAACCCUUGACCUUAGUUGCCAGCAUUCAGUUGGGCACCCUAAGGUGACUGCCGGUGACAAACCGGAGGAAGGUGGGGAUGACGUCAAAUCAUCAUGCCCCUUAUGACCUGGGCUACACACGUGCUACAAUGGAUGGUACAAAGGGUCGCGAAACCGGCGAGGUGGAGCUAAUACCCAAAAACCCGAUUCUCAGUUCGGAUUGCAGGCUGCAACUCG